UUUAGCGCCCUUCCAUCUGAUUGGGCGACGAGACCCCUACCCUCCCCCUAACGCUGAUUGGUGCGAUUUGGUUUGCGCCAUUUUGGUUGAUUGGUUGUUGCUUGGCUUAGGUGCGAAGUGUAAUGGCACCCUCAGCAUAAAAGGGUUAAACCGCCGUUUAGGAGAUCUUCCCCUUCCAGAGAUACAGGCACAGCUACUGCAGAACACCAAACUCCCGAACCGCAUGUAAGGGAAUGCUUCAAACUCCCAAACUGCAUACAAAAGAGCACUCCAAACUCCCGAACUGGAACCUCACGAAUAGCUGCUAGCAGACGAACAGGAAAAGCACCCAAGCGGCUUACACUCCUGGCAAUCAGUCUCUAACAGCAUACAGUAAAU